AGAGUUUGAUCCUGGCUCAGGAUGAACGCUAGCGGCAUGCCUAACACAUGCAAGUCGAGGGGUAACAGGAGUAGCAAUACUUGCUGACGACCGGCGCACGGGUGAGUAACGCGUAUGCAACCUACCUUUGACUGGAGAAUAGCCCGAAGAAAUACGGAUUAAUGCUCCAUGAGACCACAAUACCGGAUGAUAUAGUGGUAAAAGCUCCGGCGGUCAAAGAUGGGCAUGCGUGCCAUUAGUUAGUUGGUGAGGUUACGGCUCACCAAGACAACGAUGGCUACGGGGUCUGAGAGGAUGAUCCCCCACACUGGUACUGAGACACGGACCAGACUCCUACGGGAGGCAGCAGUGAGGAAUAUUGGUCAAUGGACGCAAGUCUGAACCAGCCAUGCCGCGUGCAGGAUGAAUGCCCUAUGGGUUGUAAACUGCUUUUCUACAAGAAGAAACUUCCUGAUGUAUCAGGAACUGACGGUAUUGUAGGAAUAAGCAUCGGCUAACUCCGUGCCAGCAGCCGCGGUAAUACGGAGGAUGCAAGCGUAAUCCGGAUUCAUAGGGUUUAAAGGGUGCGUAAGCGGUGUAGUAAGUCAGUGGUGAAAGCCUGCGGCUUAACCGUAGAAUUGCCAUUGAUACUGAUAUUCUUGAGUGCAGUUGAGGUAGGCGGAAUGUGUAAUGUAGCGGUGAAAUGCUUAGAUAUUACACAGAAGACCGAUUGCUGUAGGCAGCUUACUAAACUGUAACUGACGCUGAGGCACGAAAGCGUGGGGAGCGAACAGGAUUAGAUACCCUGGUAGUCCACGCUGUAAACUAUGAUCACUCGCUG
rnacentral:rRNA from 1 species